GCUCCAGUGGACUAACUGGUUAAAGCGUUCGCCUCGGAUGCGGGAGGUCGCUAGUUCGAACCCAAGCUGAGUCA